UUCGGGGUACUCGAGCGGCGAACGGGUGAGUAACACGUGAGCAACCUGCCCCAAGCUUUGGGAUAACCCUCGGAAACGGGGGCUAAUACCGAAUAGGACUUCCGGCCGCAUGGCUGGGGGUGGAAAGUUUUUCGGCUUGGGAUGGGCUCGCGGCCUAUCAGCUUGUUGGUGGGGUGAUGGCCUACCAAGGCGACGACGGGUAGCCGGCCUGAGAGGGCGACCGGCCACACUGGGACUGAGACACGGCCCAGACUCCUACGGGAGGCAGCAGUGGGGAAUAUUGCACAAUGGGCGGAAGCCUGAUGCAGCGACGCCGCGUGAGGGAUGACGGCCUUCGGGUUGUAAACCUCUUUCAGCAGGGACGAAGCGAGAGUGACGGUACCUGCAGAAGAAGCACCGGCCAACUACGUGCCAGCAGCCGCGGUAAGACGUAGGGUGCGAGCGUUGUCCGGAUUUAUUGGGCGUAAAGAGCUCGUAGGCGGCUUGUCGCGUCGACCGUGAAAACUUGGGGCUCAACCCCAAGCCUGCGGUCGAUACGGGCAGGCUAGAGUUCGGUAGGGGAGACUGGAAUUCCUGGUGUAGCGGUGAAAUGCGCAGAUAU
rnacentral:rRNA from 1 species